GGAGAGUCAAUGUUGCGCUAUGCAGCAACAGGCGGGAGAUAGAAUGUUGCGUUGUGCAGCAUCCAGCACAAAUGGGUUAAGCUGUGACAACAUAGACG